rnacentral:lncRNA from 1 species
GAGAUACAAGAAGGGACUAGGCUUGUAUAUAAUAUUUUGAGCUGCUUUUAAGGUUUAUGGCACAUUUUUUUAUCUCUUAAUUGGAUUUGAAAUUCAAUACAACACCCUAAAUGGUUGUUUACUAGUGAUCUUAUGUUUUUUUUUUGUAUUUUCCCAAUGAGAUGUUUUGCAACAAUAAAUGGUUGCUUAGGUGUUAAGGAAUGUUUUAAAAAAUUUCUUAAAUAAAAUUUUAAAUUGUUUUCAAGAAUAAUUUUUUUUUUUUUGAGAACUUAAAUGUGAAAAACAGUUUUCUUGGCUUUUUCUCCAUGAAUGCACUAGAAAGAGUUUUUAAGAAAAGAAAUGAAAUCAUCAACCCAAUCAAAGAGAGAGAAAAAAAAAAAGAAAUGAUGAAAUUAUCAAAAUGUUUCCUAGUUCGUGUUAGUUUUGUGUUGUAAGAAAACAUGUACGCUUGCAAGCUUGGUUAAAAUGUGUGAAAAUCAAUGAUACAUAUCAAGGUAGCUUAUUUAAAUCAAUGAUCAGGUUCAUAUUUAUUACGUCUUAGGUUUUAUUAGGUAAGUAGAGACUUAUGUUUUAAUUAGGUAAGUAGAGACUUAUGUUUUAAUUAUUCUUGUUGGUAUUAUCCUUUAUUCGUAAAAGCUAGAAUUCAUAUUUGUAUGUCUAUCAUCUUCUGAAAUACAUUCAUAUUGUUUGGUGGAAGUUUGAUGUAUAUUUUUGAAUUUACUUUGAUUAGUUUUCUUAAGACUUUUGUUGUGCUUAGGAGAGAAUUUGAUUAAUGUGCUUCUAAAGGAUUGUGGACUAUGUUGCAUGGGUUGGGGUAUGAGUGUCAAGUGCAGGUGUUUGUCUAAUUGUUCAAUCCUUCAUAACUCAAAUUUUAGGUUGUGAAGACUUGGCUAAAAAUGAUCCUAAAAAGGGGCAUGGACACCUUUUCCCUCUAAAAAAAAAUCAAUUAAAAUAAAUUGACAUGAAAAUAAAUUGACAAUGAAAAUAAAUUGACAAUGAAAAUAUCCUAUUUAAAAGCUCCCACCUUAAGGUACCCUAGGUACUACCUUAGCUAAACAUGAACUCAACCUCUCCCAAGCCUUGGGUCUUCCUUUGUGACCCUUAGAGCAUCCCAUUAUGUGGUUCUCUUGAGUGCUCAGGUGGUCCACCAAUGGUUUUUUGGGACUGUACCUUAGGUACACCUUAAUGACCUUUAAGUAUUACCUUAAGAGACCCUAGGUACUACCUUAACUAAACUUGAACUCAACCUCUCCCAAGCCUCGGGCUUUCCUUUGUGAGCCUUAGAGCAUCUCAUUAUGUGGUUCUCUUGAGUGCUCAAGUGGUCCACCAAAGGUUUUUUGCAAUUGUACCUUAGGUACUACCUUAAGAGCCCUUAGGUACUACCUUAAUGGCCUUUAGGUACUACCUUAAGGGACCCUAGGUACUACCUUAGCUAAACAUGAACUCAACCUCUCCCAAGCCUCGGGUCUUCCUUUGUGACCCUUAGAGCAUCCCAUUAUGCGGUUCUCUUGAGUGCUCAAGAGGUUCAUCAAAGGUUUUUUGGGACUGUACCUUAAGUACUACCUUAAGGGCCCUUAGGUACUACCUUAAUGACCUUUAGGUACUAGCUUAAGGGACCCUAGGUACUACCUUAAGGUAAACAUGAACUCAACCUCUCCCAAGCCUCGGGCCUUCUUUUGUGACCCUUAAAGCAUCCCAUUAUGUGGUUCUCUUGAGUGCUCAAGUGGUCUACCAAUGGUUUUUUGGGACUGUACCUUAGGUACUACCUUAAGGGCCCUUAGGUACUACCUUAAUGGCCCUUAGGUACUACCUUAAGGGACCCUAGUUAUUACCUUAGCUAAACAUGAACUCAACCUCUCCCA